UUGAAGGCACUGUAUCUGUUGGGUGAUUGGUUGAGUCUUCUUGGCUAACAUUGUCGCCGAGGAGGGCUUGCUAGUUAGCUCCAGUAUUUGCAUAAUCUCAGACGUUGUCUUAUAAAAACAGCUCAACUGCUAGCUAGUGAAAUGCUAAUUUGUGAAGCUGCCUAGCUAACAUUUGCUAAUAGCUAGACCACAGACAAAAGGCUAAACCUUAGUUUGGGGUUAGUUGGUUCUCUUUCAUUUUUGUAACGGUUCAGCCAACGACCUAUGGGAACCCCUUCCCGCGAUGUGAUUGAGAUGCUUAAUUGAGUACCACAGUAUGAGUCAUAUCCAUAAAACCUAGCGGUAAAACCCAGAAAUGGUUCGUUUUCCACCAGUAAAUUUUAGAACUACUUCGUAUAAGGUCUGUGUUUCGUGUAGGCUUAACCUGGCGCGACUUUUGAUAAUCACACACAUCUCUCUCGGACAAGGUAACUUUUAUCAAUAUAUUCGCCUGUAAUUACCCCCCAAAAAUGAAACACUAAUUAGACGCUAAUGUGGCUAUCAUACAGAACUACUCAUCCUGCUGCAAGCUUUGACGUAAUCACUCAAGGCGCAGGGUGGGAAAAACCUCCACAAUUCUCAAUGCAAACUCUCAUUGACAAGUAACAAGUGACCUAGCAAGUUGAUAUUUUAACGUUUUUAGUUUCUUGUGUAAAUUAUUUAGAUUGUGUAUUUCUAGUAUAUAUUCUUGUUGAUACUUUUUCCAAUUACCUAGCUAGCUACCUUGGCAUUUUUUGAUUACAAUACUUUUUUGAAUUACCCUGGCCUUGUAGUUAACUAGCUAACCUUAGGUCUCUCCGUCGAUCAGAAACAGGGAUGGUUCUGUGCUAUGUACUGGAUUGUAACCACAACUCCGAUGAGCACACGUGCAUUUUAUCAUUUUCCGACCUCUGUGAGAGGCAUCGCUGGAGCUGUGUGAUAAGAUGAGACAUGAAGAUUGGGUGUAGAGGGACUACUUGUCACAUUGUGCAGUUGUAGAGACUACAGGAUAUCAAGCUUGUGGACGGACAGUCUAACAGGAGUACAUUCCUCAGACUAUCUAGUACAUCCCUCAGACCAUCAGACAUCCUGUGCCAGUGUGAUCCGAGCAUGAGUGUCAAAGUUGUGGAGACUACAGCACAUCGAGCCUAUGGACGGACAGACAUGAGGCGUGACAUACUGAACAUCAGGCUCACCCCACGAGAAGCAGUGCAUGAUCAACGCCACUGUACUCUCUCUCUUAAUCUCUCAUUCUGGGGACAACACCCCAUCCAACGACUGAUCUGAAGACCCUUUUUAGCAGCGACGGAGUAACGCGAUUGGCCCUAACCACUACUCCAUAAUUGCUGGCCGUCAACCUCCCUCUCCUCAUGGUGUGCCAGUUGGGGUUGGUGCGCUGUCCAACUGUUGCCUGCUGUAUAACUUCCUGAAAUGUGCUAUAUAAAUAAAUGUUGAUUUGAUUGAUGACA